CGGGACACGUGGUAUCCUGUCUGAAUAUGGGGGGACCAUCCUCCAAGGCUAAAUACUCCUGACUGACCGAUAGUGAACCAGUACCGUGAGGGAAAGGCGAAAAGAACCCCGGCGAGGGGAGUGAAAAAGAACCUGAAACCGUGUACGUACAAGCAGUGGGAGCACGCUUCGGCGUGUGACUGCGUACCUUUUGUAUAAUGGGUCAGCGACUUAUAUUCUGUAGCAAGGUUAACCGAAUAGGGGAGCCGAAGGGAAACCGAGUCUUAACUGGGCGUUAAGUUGCAGGGUAUAGACCCGAAACCCGGUGAUCUAGCCAUGGGCAGGUUGAAGGUUGGGUAACACUAACUGGAGGACCGAACCGACUAAUGUUGAAAAAUUAGCGGAUGACUUGUGGCUGGGGGUGAAAGGCCAAUCAAACCGGGAGAUAGCUGGUUCUCCCCGAAAGCUAUUUAGGUAGCGCCUCGUGAAUUCAUCUCCGGGGGUAGAGCACUGUUUCGGCAAGGGGGUCAUCCCGACUUACCAACCCGAUGCAAACUGCGAAUACCGGAGAAUGUUAUCACGGGAGACACACGGCGGGUGCUAACGUCCGUCGUGAAGAGGGAAACAACCCAGACCGCCAGCUAAGGUCCCAAAGUCAUGGUUAAGUGGGAAACGAUGUGGGAAGGCCCAGACAGCCAGGAUGUUGGCUUAGAAGCAGCCAUCAUUUAAAGAAAGCGUAAUAGCUCACUGGUCGAGUCGGCCUGCGCGGAAGAUGUAACGGGGCUAAACCAUGCACCGAAGCUGCGGCAGCGACACUAUGUGUUGUUGGGUAGGGGAGCGUUCUGUAAGCCUGUGAAGGUGUACUGUGAGGUAUGCUGGAGGUAUCAGAAGUGCGAAUGCUGACAUAAGUAACGAUAAAGCGGGUGAAAAGCCCGCUCGCCGGAAGACCAAGGGUUCCUGUCCAACGUUAAUCGGGGCAGGGUGAGUCGACCCCUAAGGCGAGGCCGAAAGGCGUAGUCGAUGGGAAACAGGUUAAUAUUCCUGUACUUGGUGUUACUGCGAAGGGGGGACGGAGAAGGCUAUGUUGGCCGGGCGACGGUUGUCCCGGUUUAAGCGUGUAGGCUGGUUUUCCAGGCAAAUCCGGAAAACUAAGGCUGAGGCGUGAUGACGAGGCACUACGGUGCUGAAGCAACAAAUGCCCUGCUUCCAGGAAAAGCCUCUAAGCAUCAGGUAACAUCAAAUCGUACCCCAAACCGACACAGGUGGUCAGGUAGAGAAUACCAAGGCGCUUGAGAGAACUCGGGUGAAGGAACUAGGCAAAAUGGUGCCGUAACUUCGGGAGAAGGCACGCUGAUAUGUAGGUGAAGCGACUUGCUCGUGGAGCUGAAAUCAGUCGAAGAUACCAGCUGGCUGCAACUGUUUAUUAAAAACACAGCACUGUGCAAACACGAAAGUGGACGUAUACGGUGUGACGCCUGCCCGGUGCCGGAAGGUUAAUUGAUGGGGUUAGCGGUAACGCGAAGCUCUUGAUCGAAGCCCCGGUAAACGGCGGCCGUAACUAUAACGGUCCUAAGGUAGCGAAAUUCCUUGUCGGGUAAGUUCCGACCUGCACGAAUGGCGUAAUGAUGGCCAGGCUGUCUCCACCCGAGACUCAGUGAAAUUGAACUCGCUGUGAAGAUGCAGUGUACCCGCGGCAAGACGGAAAGACCCCGUGAACCUUUACUAUAGCUUGACACUGAACAUUGAGCCUUGAUGUGUAGGAUAGGUGGGAGGCUUUGAAGUGUGGACGCCAGUCUGCAUGGAGCCGACCUUGAAAUACCACCCUUUA
rnacentral:rRNA from 1 species